rnacentral:ncRNA from 2 species
UGACCCUGUGCGGGAGAGUCCUCCGGAACCUCGGAGGCGCCGAAGGAGCAACUCCUCCCCGGAAUCUCUCAGGCCCCUGUACCGCACGGACGAG